rnacentral:tRNA from 1 species
AUUAGGGUGGCAGAGCCCGGAAAUUGCGUAAGAUUUAAAACCUNNUACCC